GGAAUAUUGGACAAUGGGCGCAAGCCUGAUCCAGCCAUGCCGCGUGCAGGAUGACGGUCCUAUGGAUUGUAAACUGCUUUUGUACAGGAAGAAACACUGGUUCGUGAACCAGCUUGACGGUACUGUAAGAAUAAGGAUCGGCUAACUCCGUGCCAGCAGCCGCGGUAAUACGGAGGAUCCAAGCGUUAUCCGGAAUCAUUGGGUUUAAAGGGUCCGUAGGCGGUCUUGUAAGUCAGUGGUGAAAGCCCAUCGCUCAACGGUGGAACGGCCAUUGAUACUGCAGGACUUGAAUUAUUAGGAAGUAACUAGAAUAUGUAGUGUAGCGGUGAAAUGCUUAGAGAUUACAUGGAAUACCAAUUGCGAAGGCAGGUUACUACUAAUUGAUUGACGCUGAUGGACGAAAGCGUGGGUAGCGAACAGGAUUAGAUACCCCAG
rnacentral:rRNA from 1 species